UUUUCAAAUGGUUUUAAUGCUAAUUGGGUGGAUAAUUUAUGUUUCAGGUAUGAAAAUGCACAAGGACUAUUUAUUGAGCCAUAUCCAGCCUACCAAAAUUCAUAUGGAUUUCAAGAGGUUUCAACUAAUUUUAUGCCAAUUUCUUUUCAACAAAAUAACUCUCAGAUGGAUGAGUCAACAUGGAAACUCAGAGAGAUUAUGCAAUAAAUGAGUGAACAUCAAGAGAAACAAUUCUCAAGGAUACAGAACAUACAGAAUCAGUUAGAUUAGAUUACAUCAUCUAUUCAUCAAUUACAAACACGAAGUGCCAGUGAGAAGAUGGAUUGUGGAGCACUUGUCAGGCCUGACACUGCAUCUACUUCUUCACUAGAUUCUUUAAGUACUUUUUAUUGUUGUGAUGAUGUAGUUGAAUAUAAUUUUGAUUCUACUAAUGAUGUUGCUCUAGAUGUUGGAAAUUAUGCAGGAUUUGAAGCAGAAGUUGAUUUAAGUGUAGGGGAAUGAUUUCUGGAAGCACUACCCCAAUGAUCACCAGAAUUUGAUGAUGUAAGUGUAGGGACUGUGCUAUGGAGGCAGAGCCCCAAGGAUCACCACAUGAAGAUGUACAUUCACCAGAACAAGAGUUUGAGCUAUUACAUGAUAAGGAUGAGGUAAUAAUCACCACUCCAAGUACCUAUGAACAUGACAAGAAGAAUAUAAGCUCCCGAAGUGGAUGCUUGAACUGAACCGCCUCAGAUUUCCAGAAAGAAUUUGCAAUAGAAAAAUGGUGAAUAAAAAGAAUUUGAUUACAACCAAGGAUACUCCACUACCGGGGUGGAUUCUUCUUUUAAAUCUACUUCAACCGCCCGAAAUCUAGGGGAGUUGGUUCUAAUUUCACUUUCUUUUGCAUUUUAAUUCAUGCUUAGUUAAUAAAUUCUUGCUUUAUACGUUCCUCUAGUUUUAUACUUAGCAAUUACAUUUUAUUUCCAUACUUUGCAUUUUGUUUAAUACAUAGCAUUUUAUUUAGAAUAAAUCCUCCAUGGAAUUUUCUAGUAAUAUUUUUAAGAUGGUAAAAGCUUUUUAAAUUUGAUCAUCAAUUUUAGGCCAUGUGACAUGAUUGGAUGUUUUUCUUACAUGAUAUUGGUUAAAAUGGUGGUGGAGUCCAUUUUUGUUAAUUGAGCUUGAUUCCAUUAAAUUGCCUAGUGAGGGCCACUUUAAGCCUAUACGUUAUUAUAUUUUUGUGUGACAUGCACUCACAACAAUUGAAAUUCUAGAACUUGCUUUGCUUCUUUUCAAAGUCACAAUAACAUAUUAUGCAUGGAGAUAAAGGAAACUUAUCAUUCUUGUUCCAUCAUAAAUUCUAAUUUCUUUCCCCACAAUUUUAUUUAAAUAUUUUCAUUUUAUCUAUUAAUCAAACCCUUGAUAAUCUUUGCUUGGUCCAUUUCAUUGAGGGUUUUGGUUGAUUAUCUUGAUGAGUUUGAUUGUUCAAUGAUGGUUCAAUAUUUUAAGUAUGAUGAGAUUACAUAUGAUCAAAGUUCAUGGAGAUUGGGAAUUUUAAGAUUGUUGUGUAGUGUUUUUAAAUGUUGGGAUGCAUUUUCUAAUGGUCGGAAUAUUGAAUGUUCAAAGAUAAGUUUAAAUGCAGAAAUUCGAAGUUCCACAGAAGUAAAAUGAUUGAAACUAAAGUGUAGGUUUUGAAUGACACUAUUGGAAUUGUAAAUAUGAGUUCUGGAAUUUGUAAUUGAAAUUCUGUUGGUGUCAAUUCUGUAUGCUAUUGUUGAAUAUUAGUUCUA